UGGAGCAAAACUCAAAAAAUGGUCUCAGUUCGGACUGCAGGCUGCAACCCGCCUGCACGAAGUUGGAAUUGCUAGUAAUCGUGGAUCAGCAUGCCACGGUGAAUACGUUCCCGGGUCUUGUACACACCGCCCGUCACACCAUGGGAGUCGGUAACACCCGAAGUCAGUAGUCCAACCUCGUGAGGACGCUGCCGAAGGUAGGAUUGGCGACUGGGGUGAAGUCGUAACAAGGUAAC
rnacentral:rRNA from 1 species